AGGUGCUUCCUAGGUGCCCAGAUCUUACAUAUGUCAUCUGAUUUAAUCCUUACGGCCAGUCCAAAAGUGUAAGCUUCAUGAGAGAAGGGGCUUUGUGACAUCCAGAAUUGUUACUCCAGGGCCUAGAACACUGUCUGAAAUAUAGCCGUUACUCAACUACCAUGUGGAAGUGUCUCUGACAGGAAGAGGAAGCAGGACCUCCAACCUGGGUGAGGUAAUGCUACUCAAAAAUCAAAUGAUGAGGUCCCAGUUAAGAUGGCUGCCUGACCCAAGUAUUUCCCCUGCCUUCCAAAAGCCCAAUUAAAUGAUUGCAAAAGAAUAGCCCAGAAGAACAAAGAGAAUGGGAAGAACACCAAGAUAAUACCAAAGAUUUCAAUUAAUUUCUGAAAAACUGAAGAGGACAGAAGACUGUGGGACCUUCUUGGACCAUCUCGAGUGUACUUGUAUUCCUGUUAGUAAAUCCCGGGGCAGAUUUGUGAGGAGCUGGGCCUGAAAGUUUAGCAAGGCUCUCUCUAUUCCAUAAGUUAAUAAGCCUCCUUCACAAUAUUUCAUAGAAUUAGAGAAUUUGGAAGGGACAUUAGAAAUUGCAUUUCUAAACUCUGCAUUGAAUUGGUGAAGAAAAUGAGGCAUAAGGAAAGUAGGAGACUGCCCUCAGUAACCCACUAGUAACUAGCAGACCUGAGAUAAUUAACCAUGUAUCUUUCCCAGUACACGUCCCACCAUAUUCCACUGCCUGUGUCAGAUGGCCAGGAUUGCCAAGGCAUUCUAUCACUUAGUCCCUUUUAUCUUUCCAGUUACAUGUACCUCUAUCACACUAUUGCAUGAGGCAUGGAAGAAAAUACUGAGCCAGGGGUCAGAACACAAAAAUGCCUCAGCUCUGUUCCUGAUUAACUGUGUUGAUUCAUUCAUCUGCUUUGUAUUUGUGGGGGUAUAUGGUGUGUUAGGGAGUGGAGUGGACAAAUGGAGAUGGGGUUUUUAAUGUAUAUUUUUAAGGUUUUCUUUUUAAUUAAAAAUUAUAUACAGGAAUGUUAUUC